AGCGAACGCUGGCGGCAGGCUUAACACAUGCAAGUCGAGCGGACCUUUCGGGGUCAGCGGCGGACGGGUGAGUAACGCGUGGGAACGUGCCUUCCGGUUCGGAAUAACCCUGGGAAACUAGGGCUAAUACCGGAUACGCCCUUAUGGGGAAAGGUUUACUGCCGGAAGAUCGGCCCGCGUCUGAUUAGCUAGUUGGUGGGGUAACGGCCUACCAAGGCGACGAUCAGUAGCUGGUCUGAGAGGAUGAUCAGCCACACUGGGACUGAGACACGGCCCAGACAGAGGCGGGAGGGAGGGGUGGGAAAGAGGGGAAAGGGGUGGUGAGCGUACUCGGCGGAGGCGGGGGGAGUGAUGAAGGGCUUAGGGUUGUAAAUUUCUUUGCUCGGGGAGGAUAGUGACGGGAGGGGAGGAAGCAGCCCGGGCUAAGUGCGUGCCGGAGGCCGCGGUAAUGACGAAAAGCACACGUCUGAAC
rnacentral:rRNA from 1 species